rnacentral:rRNA from 1 species
GACGAACGCUGGCGGCGUGCUUAACACAUGCAAGUCGAACGAAGAGCGAUGGAAGCUUGCUUCUAUCAAUCUUAGUGGCGCACGGGUGAGUAACGCGUAAUCAACCUGCCCUUCAGAGGGGGACAACAGUUGGAAACGACUGCUAAUACCGCAUACGAUCUAAUCUCGGCAUCGAGGAUAGAUGAAAGGUGGCCUCUACAUGUAAGCUAUCACUGAAGGAGGGGAUUGCGUCUGAUUAGCUAGUUGGAGGGGUAACGGCCCACCAAGGCGAUGAUCAGUAGCCGGUCUGAGAGGAUGAACGGCCACAUUGGGACUGAGACACGGCCCAGACUCCUACGGGAGGCAGCAGUGGGGAAUCUUCCGCAAUGGACGAAAGUCUGACGGAGCAACGCCGCGUGAGUGAUGACGGCCUUCGGGUUGUAAAGCUCUGUUAAUCGGGACGAAAGGCCUUCUUGCGAAUAGUGAGAAGGAUUGACGGCACCGGAAUAGAAAGCCACGGCUAACUACGUG